ACACCUCAACUCUCACGGCUUGUCGUGAUGAGCUUGGACUUUGGGGGUCUUGCUGGCCUGUGAGUCGGCUCCUCUCAAAUGAAUCAGCUUGCCAGUGUUUGGUGGCAUCACAGGUGUGAUAACUAUCUACGCUUGUGGUUUUCCACCAGGUAACCUUUAGUAAUGGAGGUUCGCUGGAGCUCAUAAUCAUCUCUCCUCAACGGGGACAGAUUUUGACC
rnacentral:misc_RNA from 1 species